UUUCCGUAGGGUAAGUAAAAAUCUUAAAAAAUCCAUAAAAAAUUGAAUACUAACGUUAUUAUAGUGAACCUGCGGAAGGAUCAUUA
rnacentral:rRNA from 1 species